rnacentral:tRNA from 1 species
GGGCCCGUGGGGUAGCUUGGUAUCCUUGCAGCUUGGGGUGCUGUUGACUCCAGUUCAAAUCUGGACGGGCUCACC